rnacentral:tRNA from 1 species
GCGGGUAUCGUAUAAUGGCUAUUACCUCAGCCUUCCAAGCUGAUGAUGCGGGUUCGAUUCCCGCUACCAGCUCCA